UACCGCUCCACGUGCGAUCUCACACAAAACGGUACAUAAAAUGUCGCACUUUUUACGAAAAUACCGUUUUGCCAUCACCGACCUCUCCUCGAUCAACGCGCAAUCUCCGCAGAUCGGUCCGUCAGAUUUGCGAAUGGACCGCACCAGUGCGAUCAGCACAACAGAGACAACAAAGCUACAAUUUCGUUUCACCUCGCUCCAUCGCGGAUUCGCAACGAAAUCCGAUCCAUCUCUCCAAUAGAAGAACUACGCACAAAUACAUAUAAAACACGUAUUUUCAGAUUUUCUUGAAAUCCGUGCUUCAAACUCAAAAUCCGUCAGCGUCAUCAGUUCCAGAACAGCUGAACCGAUCGAAACGAGCUAU
rnacentral:lncRNA from 1 species